AUUGAACGCUGGCGGCAGGCCUAACACAUGCAAGUCGAGCGGAUGAGGGGAGCUUGCCCCUGGAUUAAGCGGCGGACGGGGGAGAAAUGCCUAGGAAUCUGCCUGGUAGGGGGGGAUAACGUCCGGAAACGGGCGCUAAUACCGCAUAGGUCCGGAGGGAGAAGGGGGGGGAUCUUCGGACCUCACGCUUUCGGAUAAGCCUAGGUCGGAUUAGCUAGUUGGUGGGGUAAAGGCCUACCAAGGCGACGAUCCGUAACUGGUCUGAGAGGAUGAUCAGUCACACUGGAACUGAGACACGGUCCAGACUCCUACGGGAGGCAGCAGCGGGGAAUAUUGGACAAUGGGCGAAAGCCUGAUCCAGCCAUGCCGCGUGUGUGAAGAAGGUCUUCGGAUUGUAAAGCACUUUAAGUUGGGAGGAAGGGCAGUAAGUUAAUACCUUGCUGUUUUGACGUUACCAACAGAAUAAGCACCGGCUAACUUCGUG
rnacentral:rRNA from 1 species